rnacentral:rRNA from 1 species
AAUGAACGCUGGCGGCGUGCUUAACACAUGCAAGUCGAACGGCAGCACGGGAGCAAUCCUGGUGGCGAGUGGCGAACGGGUGAGUAAAGUAUCGGAACGUGCCCAGUCGUGGGGGAUAACGUAGCGAAAGUUACGCUAAUACCGCAUACGAUCUAUGGAUGAAAGCGGGGGAUCGCAAGACCUCGCGCGAUUGGAGCGGCCGAUAUCAGAUUAGGUAGUUGGUGGGGUAAAGGCCCACCAAGCCGACGAUCUGUAGCUGGUCUGAGAGGACGACCAGCCACACUGGGACUGAGACACGGCCCAGACUCCGACGGGAGGCAGCAGUGGGGAAUUUUGGACAAUGGGCGAAAGCCUGAUCCAGCCAUGCCGCGUGCAGGAUGAAGGCCUUCGGGUUGUAAACUGCUUUUGUACGGAACGAAAAGGACUGCCCUAAUACGGUGGUCCCAUGACGGUACCGUAAGAAUAAGCACCGGCUAACUACGUGCCAGCCGCCGCAGUAAUAC